UACGGAGGGGGGCUAGCGUUGUUCGGAAUUACUGGGCGUAAAGCGCACGUAGGCGGCUUUGCAAGUUAGAGGUGAAAGCUCGGGGCUCAACUCCGGAAUUGCCUUUAAAAACUGCAUCGCUAGAAUUGUGGAGAGGUAAGUGGAAUUCCGAGUGUAGAGGUGAAAUUCGUAGAUAUUCGGAAGAACACCAGUGGCGAAGGCGACUUACUGGACACAUAUUGACGCUGAGGUGCGAAAGCGUGGGGAGCAAACAGG
rnacentral:rRNA from 1 species